rnacentral:rRNA from 1 species
UACAGAGGUCUCAAGCGUUGUUCGGAUUCAUUGGGCGUAAAGGGUGCGUAGGCGGCGCGGUAAGUCGGGUGUGAAAUCUUGGAGCUUAACUCCGAAACUGCAUUCGAUACUGCCGUGCUUGAGGACUGGAGAGGAGACUGGAAUUUACGGUGUAGCGGUGAAAUGCGUAGAGAUCGUGAGGAAGACCAGUGGCGAAGGCGGGUCUCUGGACAGUUCCUGACGCUGAGGCACGAAGGCCAGGGGAGCAAACGGG